CGUGCACUCUCUUAUUCCACACUUUCAGAGC
rnacentral:piRNA from 1 species